AAAUUGAAGAGUUUGAUCAUGGCUCAGAUUGAACGCUGGCGGCAGGCCUAACACAUGCAAGUCGAACGGUAACAGAAAGCAGCUUGCUGCUUUGCUGACGAGUGGCGGACGGGUGAGUAAUGUCUGGGAAACUGCCCGAUGGAGGGGGAUAACUACUGGAAACGGUAGCUAAUACCGCAUAACGUCGCAAGACCAAAGAGGGGGACCUUCGGGCCUCUUGCCAUCGGAUGUGCCCAGAUGGGAUUAGCUAGUAGGUGGGGUAACGGCUCACCUAGGCGACGAUCCCUAGCUGGUCUGAGAGGAUGACCAGCCACACUGGAACUGAGACACGGUCCAGACUCCUACGGGAGGCAGCAGUGGGGAAUAUUGCACAAUGGGCGCAAGCCUGAUGCAGCCAUGCCGCGUGUAUGAAGAAGGCCUUCGGGUUGUAAAGUACUUUCAGCGGGGAGGAAGGGAGUAAAGUUAAUACCUUUGCUCAUUGACGUUACCCGCAGAAGAAGCACCGGCUAACUCCGUGCCAGCAGCCGCGGUAAUACGGAGGGUGCAAGCGUUAAUCGGAAUUACUGGGCGUAAAGCGCACGCAGGCGGUUUGUUAAGUCAGAUGUGAAAUCCCCGGGCUCAACCUGGGAACUGCAUCUGAUACUGGCAAG
rnacentral:rRNA from 1 species